rnacentral:snRNA from 1 species
UUGGCUUAAACUCAAUGAGUAAGGAAACUAGUUCUCUACCUGACAAGUAGAGAUUCCAAUGGCAUUUGUGCCUUGGCAAUUUAUGAGGGACAUGGAAUGGUCGGCGCAGGCCUCCUCUACUUUGGGAGGGCUCUGCGCCAGCCGGUCCCCCAU